CCUUCCUUCUGCUCAGAUAUACCACCAGGCCUGAAAGAUCUCAGAAAUGUGCCCAAGUCUUCUAGCAAAAAGGAGGAAUUGAGCACUUAAUAUUAACAAGCUUUUCAGCAAUGCAAAUGUCUUCCUGGCAAAGAGGAGACACCAUCUUUGAUGUUUGAUUUAAUUACCAGCAGUCAGCAC